GCUGGCUUAGAUCAAUGGUAGAUCGUCUCCCUCCUACUUCUUCCAGGGUUGAGGAGAAGGCUGCGGGUUCGAGUCCCGUGGUCAGUG
rnacentral:tRNA from 1 species